rnacentral:misc_RNA from 1 species
GAUGAGACGCAGCGAAAUGCGAUAAGUAAUGUGAAUUGCAGAAUUCAGUGAAUCAUCGAAUCUUUGAACGCACAUUGCGCCCCUUGGUAUUCCGAGGGGCAUGCCUGUUCGAGCGUCAUAUUAACCACUCCCGCUUGCGGGGUCUUGGGCUUCGCCUCCGGGCGGGCCUUAAAAUCAGUGGCGGUGCCGUCGGGCUCUACGCGUAGUAAAUUUUCUCGCGAUAGGGUCCCGGUGGAUGCUUGCCAACAACCCCCAACUUCUUAAGGUUGACCUCGGAUCAGGUAGGGAUACCCGCUGAACUUAAGCAUAUCAAUAAGCGGAGGA